GUGGGGAAUAUUGGACAAUGGGCGAAAGCCUGAUCCAGCCAUGCCGCGUGUGUGAAGAAGGUCUUCGGAUUGUAAAGCACUUUAAGUUGGGAGGAAGGGCAGUAAGUUAAUACCUUGCUGUUUUGACGUUACCGACAGAAUAAGCACCGGCUAACUUCGUGCCAGCAGCCGCGGUAAUACGAAGGGUGCAAGCGUUAAUCGGAAUUACUGGGCGUAAAGCGCGCGUAGGUGGUUUUGUAAGUUGGAGGUGAAAUCCCCGGGCUCAACCUGGGAAAUGCCUACAAAACUGAAUGACUAGAGUACGGUAGAGGGUAGUGGAAUUUCCUGUGUAGCGGUGAAAUGCGUAGAUAUAGGAAGGAACAACAGUGGAGAAGGCGACUACCUGGACUGAUACUGACACUGAGGUGCGAAAGCGUGGGGAGCAAACAGGAUUAGAAACCCUAGUAGUCC
rnacentral:rRNA from 1 species